GAUGAACGCUGGCGGCGUGCCUAAUACAUGCAAGUCGAGCGAACAGACGAGGAGCUUGCUCCUCUGACGUUAGCGGCGGACGGGUGAGUAACACGUGGAUAACCUACCUAUAAGACUGGGAUAACUUCGGGAAACCGGAGCUAAUACCGGAUAAUAUAUUGAACCGCAUGGUUCAAUAGUGAAAGACGGUUUUGCUGUCACUUAUAGAUGGAUCAGCGCCGCAUUAGCUAGUUGGUAAGGUAACGGCUUACCAAGGCAACGAUGCGUAGCCGACCUGAGAGGGUGAUCGGCCACACUGGAACGGAGACACGGUCCAGACUCCUACGGGAGGCAGCAGUAGGGAAUCUUCCGCAAUGGGCGAAAGCCUGACGGAGCAACGCCGCGUGAGUGAUGAAGGUCUUCGGAUCGUAAAACUCUGUUAUUAGGGAAGAACAAAUGUGUAAGUAACUAUGCACGUCUUGACGGUACCUAAUCAGAAAGCCACGGCUAACUACGUG
rnacentral:rRNA from 1 species